AAUGAUUAAACCACAUCCACACUCCAUCCUUAAAGAGGUAAGAAGCUAAGCUAGCACAGAUGAUAGAUUUGGUAACCAUGGUGUCAGAAUUCUGGAUAAUUCCACUUUUAACCCUCCUCACCAUAUCUUUGACCAUCUAUCUCUUCACCAGAAACCCAAAUAACCAACAACCACCAUACCCACCAGGCCCAUUGGGCCUCCCAAUACUCGGAAACCUCCUCUCUUUAGACCCAGAACUCCACACUUAUUUCACCAAAUUGGCCCAAACCCACGGCCCAAUCUUCUCUCUUUGGCUCGGAACUCGGCUCGGCGUAGUCAUCUCCUCACCGGCUCAAGCCAAACAAAUACUCAAAGACCAUGACGUCAUCUUUGCUAACCGUGACGUACCCACCGCCGGAAAAGCCGCCACGUACGGCGGCGCCGACAUAGUGUGGUCCCCAUACGGCGCCACGUGGAGGCUGCUGAGGAAGGUGUGUGUCAGAGAGUUACUGAGCACCGCCACGCUGGAAGAAGUGUACGGUCUCCGUCGCCGGGAAAUCCGGCGCAUGAUCCGGGGACUGUCGGAGAAAGUGGGGACAACAAAAAUUAAUGUCGGUGAAGAGGUGUUCUCGGUGGUUAUGAGGGUGGUGACAGGGAUGUUGUGGGGUGGGACUGUGGUGGAGGAUGAGGAGAGAGAAAAUAUAGGUUUCGAGUUUCGGGCGGCGGUGAAGGAGAUGACGGAGUUGUUGGGUAUGCCGAAUGUAUCGGACUUUUUUCCGGGUUUGGAGCGGAUCGAUUUGCAAGGGAUAGUGAGGAGGAUGAAGAGGUGUGUUAAGUUGUUGGAUGGGAUUUUUGAUAAGGUGAUUGAUCAAAGGUUGAGGAUUGAUGAGAAAGGAAGGAAGAGAGAGAAGGAUUUUUUGGAGGUUUUGUUACAAAUGAAGGAGGAUUAUGAGGGUGAAAGUAGUGAUGAUAAGGUGUCAUUUUCUAUUACCCAUCUCAAAGCUUUGCUCAUGGAUAUGGUGGUUGGUGGAACUGACACUAGCUCAAACACAGUUGAACUUGCCAUGGCAGAAAUACUGAACAAACCGGAGGUGCUGAAGAAGAUCCAGCAAGAGCUGGACGCAGAGGUUGGCAGAGACAGCAUAGUGGAAGAGCAUCACAUCUUUAAACUCCCUUACCUACAAGCUGUCAUGAAAGAGGCACUGCGUUUGCACCCGGCACUACCUCUACUAGUCCCUCAUUGUCCGAGUGAGUCCUGUGUUGUUGGAGGCUAUACCAUUCAUAAGGGUUCCCGGAUCUUCAUCAAUGUUUGGGCUAUCCAUCGAGACCCUUCAGUAUGGACCGAUCCAUUAAAUUUUGUUCCUGAAAGGUUUCUGAAUUCUAAAUUUGACUUCAGUGGGAACGAUUUCAGUUACUUUCCCUUUGGCUCGGGUAGAAGGAUUUGUGCAGGAAUAGCAAUGGCUGAGAGGAUGGUACUGUUUUCACUAGCCUCACUAUUACAUUCCUUUGAUUGGAAAUUGCCCGAGGGAGAAGCUUUAGAUCUUGAGGAGAAGUUUGGGAUUGUCCUGAGCAAGAGAACGCCUCUCACAGUAAUUCCCGAGUGUAGGUUAUCUAGUCCAGCUCUGUAUGAAUGAAUCGUUUAACUCAGACUGCCUCUGUGUCCAUAAAACGAUCAACAGACUGUGGUGGUUCAGCUAUACAAGAAGAAGGCACUUAUCUAUAUUCUCAGGAUAUAAAUUUUGAAGCUCAUACAUAAAUGACUAAGGAUCCAAGUGGAGGUCGAUGUUUUGUAUGUGUAGACCUUCUUGUCUACCAUCAAUCCUCUAGAAGCUGCUUUGCUAUUCUGCAAGUUACGUUGUAGUAGUGAUUUGGACGUCGAGAGAGGUAUUGAUAAUUUGAUAAUUCCCUAAUGAUUAAUCAUAUAUAUUGGUUGAUUGGGGCGUUAGUAUGGUAAUGUUCAUCUUUUCAUUGUCUCAGCAAGUGGAUUGUCGUUUGUCAGUGGGGUCUUAUCAUCUCUUCCGCCCUCAAUUUUAUUGUAUGAUUACAUUGUCUAAACUCUGGUUUGGACUACAGAAAUUAAUCUGAACUUGAGUGUUGAAGGCCAAAUUGAAGCUUAAGUCUCAGCUCAAUGUCUUGUUGAGCUUUACUCCAAUAAAAAUUGCUAGAAAGUCAAAUUCUGAGUGCACAGAUGUGAAUGUUGUAGUUUUGACGUAUAAUAAGUAAGCUCUAUGCAUUAUUCUGUUCUUCUGUUGGUUGUCUUGAGUUUCAGGAAAUUCUCUAUUCAUAAUGUAGUUGUUGAUUUACAAAAAUUAAUUUUGCAAGUAGUUGUAUACUAACAGUUUACUGUCGAAUAUUAUUAUCUUGAUCCUCUAUUAACUACACUGAGCAGCUCAGUUGUGUUUGCCUUGGAAGUUUUCUUUUUUUUUCAUUCACUUUGAUCAGUUGAUGACACUAGCAAGAAGCAAAAUCCUCUUCUUUUUGAUGGGAAGAAGCAAUAUUCCUAAUCCUAAGGCAUAAUUUCAAUGAUGAAUGACUAAUACUCAGACCAUUAAGAUUUCAUAGCCAACCCACACACUUCGGCAUUAUAGAAAUUGACCACAUCCUUAACCAAGGGGCAUAUAUAUAAGUGAAGUUCAUCCUAACCUUUAAAAAAGAAACUAAAGUUCAUCCUUGAGCUGUGUGUUUCUCAGUUUCUUUCUUCGUUUAUUACAGGCAUAUAAUUAGAUGAUUAAUUAUGUGCAACAAGCUUGUUAUCUCUAGACGAGGUUUGCUAAUGCUACGGCUACCAGCAACACAUACCAUCUCUUCCCUAGUAUCUUUGUGAGAUCCCUUUUCUUUGGUCCUUUCAUCGCCAGUUCUCUGGCCUCUUCUAAAAUUCUCGAUAGCUAUUAUCUUCAGAAUCCGUGUAGUAAUAGACUGUAUCAUCAUUUUCAAUGCUGGUGUGGAGUGAUAUUAUCAUCAUCAUGAAACCGUCACUGAGUCUCAUCUUAAACA